UGAGUGGGCAAGAUGAUCGCUGGAGUCGUUUCCGCGAAAGCGGUGGCGAUUUCUGGAGGAAAGUCCGGGCUCCGCAGGAUAGGAUGGUCGAUAACGUCGACCGGCCGCGAGGCUAGGGAAAGUGCAGCAGAGAAUAGACCGCCGAACGGUGUCUUUGACAUGCGUGGUAAGGGUGAAACGGUGCGGUAAGAGCGCACCAGCGGUCGAGGUGACUCGAUCGGCUUGGUAAACCCCAUCCGGAGCUAGACCAAACAGAGUGCAGUGAAUCGGUCUUCGGAUCGGUCCCGGCGUGUGAUCCGCACGGCUAUCGACACUCGGGUAGGUCGCGAUUGAGGCGGCGAGCAAUCGUCGUGCACAGAUAAAUGGUCGUCGGCGAAAAUUUUUUGGUUUUCGUCACAGAACCCGGCUUACCAACCCACUCACGAC
rnacentral:RNase_P_RNA from 1 species